rnacentral:rRNA from 1 species
AGGGUUUGAUCAUGGCUCAGGAUGAACGCUGGCGGCGUGCUUAACACAUGCAAGUCGAACGAAGCACUCAGGAGCGACUUCGGUCAAUCCUGUUUGACUUAGUGGCGGACGGGUGAGUAACGCGUGAGGAACCUGCCUCGCAGUGGGGAAUAACAGUUGGAAACGACUGCUAAUACCGCAUAAUGCACCGAGAUCGCAUGGUCUUGAUGCCAAAGAUUUAUCGCUGUGAGAUGGCCUCGCGUCUGAUUAGCUAGUUGGUGAGGUAACGGCCCACCAAGGCGACGAUCAGUAGCCGGACUGAGAGGUUGAUCGGCCACAUUGGGACUGAGACACGGCCCAG